CGGGGACCCGGACCACAAGCAGCGGAGCGUGUGGUUUAAUUCGUUGACUACACGAGAACUUACCUGGUUUGACAUAUAGGUUGUAGGGAACUGAAAGGGACGACCCUUCGGGGAGCCUAUACAGGUGUUGCAUGGCUGUCGUCAGCUCGUGUCGUGAGAUGUUCGGUUAAGUCCGCUAACGAGCGCAACCCUCGUCGUAUGUUAUAUGUGUCAUACGAGACUGCCGGUAAAAGCCGGAGGAAGGUGAGGAUGAUGUCAAGUCAGCAUGACCUUUAUAUCCAGGGCUACACACACGCUACAAUGGUCUGUACAAUGGGUAGCCAAGCCGCGAGGCGGAGCCAAUCCUGAAAGCAGGCCUCAGUUCAGAUUGCAGUCUGCAACUCGACUGCAUGAAGCCGGAGUUGCUAGUAACCGCAGGUCAGCUAUACUGCGGUGAAUACGUUCCCGGGGCUU
rnacentral:rRNA from 1 species